rnacentral:misc_RNA from 1 species
GAGGAAUUCAAGCUUGCUGGAUCAAAGAAUCGCCAAAAUAUCCAACUGGAACACUCCGACAGCAGAUCUCGAGUUCCUUUGCGGUCAUUUAUCUUUGGUAACAAACCAAAAAAGCAAAAGCAUUCAAUCUUCUCCUGCGUGCACCCUGUACUGCAAAGGAAAUACAAUGGUUUGAAGGCAGGGAUUUAAUGUCUAAAUUGAUUGUUUUUAAUGGUUUACUGCUUU